rnacentral:rRNA from 1 species
UACGUAGGGGGCAAGCGUUGUCCGGAUUUAUUGGGCGUAAAGAGCGUGUAGGCGGUUUGGUAGGUCCGCUGUGAAAACUCGAGGCUCAACCUCGAGACGCCGGUGGAAACCAUCAGGCUAGAGUCCGGAAGAGGAGAGUGGAAUUCCUGGUGUAGCGGUGAAAUGCGCAGAUACCAGGAAGAACACCCGUGGCUAAGGCGGCUCUCUAGUACGGUACUGACGCUGAGACGCGAAAGCGUGGGGAGCGAACAGG